UGACGUGCAUGUCAAAAAGACAGCUCUGUCGUCUUAUGUUUUAGGGUCUCAAGUAUGUAACCUUGUUAUUGUGAGGACAACGAGGAACACUGGCAACCUGCCAUGUAUGCAAAUGUGUGUAAGGGCAAGGAAGAGGAUCAUCCAUUCAUUUCUACAUGCCUGUCUGUCUGUGAAGUGGUACUGGCAGAGUCUCUUCCACAGCAGCCGGUCCUCAGUGAGGGCCCCCAGCUCGGGGCACACCUGGCCCAGGCUGACCAGGUCCCUGCCAUCCGUCAGACGCUGCAUGAUGUUCAACUGGAGAC